ensembl:lncRNA
UAAAGAGUUAAGUCUUACUGCAAGUGGAGAAAAUUGCAUGACAGUAUUAGAUGGGGAGGAGUUUCACUUUGCUGAAGUGAAACCUAAGUCGAGAGACUUUAUGCGUAUUGUGCUCAGAAAGAAAACAUAUGUAUGUUUUUGAACAACUACACAGUCCCUACACAGGAAGUGGCCAGAAAGCCAACAGAUAAAAUACAUCUGAGGUACGGGAGGUUCUUCCGCCCCCUCUGGACAUCGAGGGUGACCCGGUGUACUUUGUUCGUUCCAUACUGGAUUUGGGACGUCGGGCAAGGGGCCUUCAGUACCUC